ACAGGGAUAGCUCAGUAGUUUGAGCAUUGGUCUGCUAAACCCAGAGUUGUGAGUUCAAUCCUCCUCUCCCAGCC
rfam:Chelonia mydas contig251047, whole genome shotgun sequence.